rnacentral:misc_RNA from 1 species
CGCCCACCCGUGUACCACCAGGUUGUGGUUCUUGUAAUCAUAACGGCGUAACGGGAGUUUGUAUUCCAUGUCGGUGAACAUCGCGUCUGAGUCCACCCACCAGAUCCACUCUGCCUCUGGAUGAGCCAGCAUCGCCGCCUUCACCGUCGGCAGUUUCGCCCAGAAACUGUUCAUUUUAGGGUGGAGCAGCACGUUGUUGUAGAAGAUAUCGUAACCGUGGAUUCUGCAAUAGUCCACUUUAUUCUUGAAGAAUCUUAAAAGAAAAUGGUCGCCGAUUGGGUUCUUACACGGCCCCGACUGCGAUCCAGUCAGCAUCACCACUCGAUCGCGAGCGCCAGGGGCGAACGAAGGGUGAAGCUUCAGCCACUCCUUUCUCUUCUCAUCCCAGUCUUUCACAGGCUGCUCGAUGGAAUAUCUCAGCUCCGGAUCAUCGUAGAAUGUUCUAUCAGGCGGGUCAUACCGGAGGUUAACCGCCGGGUUUUCCUUUACGCAACUUCGUGAAUCGGAACCAACCUUGAUAUUUAAAUCAGUGACAUUAGGCUCAAAAUUACCGGCAUAAGACCAAAGAGACCAAAUGAGCAAAAAGGCAAGCAAAGCACCACCAAGAUA